rnacentral:misc_RNA from 1 species
UCUCCCGUGAGGGAGCAGUCUCGCCUGACCAUAUAGGCAACAGGCAACGGGGGUUGCGUUCGUUACCCCACUGAAGGGAACAGUUCAAACCACGAACUGACGACAACCAUGCAUCACCUGCCCAACACCCUCGAAGGCUCCAAUCCUUUCGGUCUGGAUGCAGUUGGGUUUCUAACCUUGGUAAGGUUCUUCGUUUAUCAUCGAAUUAAGCCGCAUAAUCCACCGCUUGUGCGAGUCCCCGUCUAUUCCUUUGAGUUUUAAUCUUGCGAUCGUACUACCCAGGCGGUUCGCUUACCGGGUUACCUUAGUCCCACAGAGGGUCGAUACUCCGUAGAACGAGCGAACAGCGUUGAGGGCCAGGACUAC